AGGUUCACUUUGAGAAAAGGAAAUGGAUGGUUGUCCUUGAGUGUUAUGACGAUGGAAGUAUUAUUCGAAAGUACCGUGAGGAGAUAGAUGAGUAUAGUAAAAAUGGUGAAACUUUCGUCCUCGCAGUUGAUCCUAGUAGUGAAGAUGAGUCUGAUGAUGAGGUUAGUGCUGAUGAGUCGACUUAGUAGGGUGAAGAUGAUCUUGAAGAUGCAGAAGAUGGUGGUGGGCAACAGAGUGACAUUGCCAUGGGUUCGACCUCAGAUGAGGAUGACUCGUAGUGCCUUCAUUUUUUGUAUGUAUUAUGGAUAUACUACUUUGUUGUUUGUGUGGCAUGUACCAUGUACUCUAGAUGUACUAGUUUGUUGUUUGUAUGACAUGUGCCAUGUUGUAAGCCUGAAGGCUUUUUAUUUAUGGAUGUUUACGACUUUGCGUCUUAUAGUUUAAUGUUAAUUCCCAAAUGUUUGCACUAUCAUUGAUGGAUGCUUGGCUAUGUUUGAAUAGAUCCUUUGUUUGGAUAUAAGCCAUGACUUGGGCAAGAUUGAAUGAAUAUAAUGUAGAGUUGUUCGUUUAUUUGUAUAGUCUCGUUGAUAUGUACUUAGACUUUAUUUCAUGUUGAGAGCAUUCAUGUUGAAGCUUUGAACCCUAGUGUUUCAUUGCUAGGAAUGUAAGAGAAUUAUGACCGAGUUGUCAAAAUCACCUCUUUAUUGAAUUCAUGCCAAAUGAUAUUCAUUACAUAGGAUGCCGAA
rnacentral:lncRNA from 1 species